UAAAAUGUUGAUAUAAUCAUACACUCACUUGUCUUUCAGGUCAUUUUUUGCAUUUUUCUUAAAAUCAUCCGACUUUUGCUGUCCAAGUUAAAGGCUGACCAGGUGAAGUUCACUGACUACAGAUACAGUCUAGCCAGAGCAACGCUUGUGUUGAUUCCUCUGCUCGGGGUCCAUGAAAUCGUCUUUACCUUAAUUAUAGACGAAUCAGUUGAGGGAAGCAGCCGCUACGCUCGAAACUUCGUCAAUCUGACCCUGAGCUCUUUCCAGGGUCUUUUAGUUGCAAUGCUGUACUGCUUUGCAAAUGGAGAGGU